AACGAACGCUGGCGGCAUGCCUAACACAUGCAAGUCGAACGAGACCUUCGGGUCUAGUGGCGCACGGGUGCGUAACGCGUGGGAACCUGCCCUUAGGUUCGGAAUAACUCCCCGAAAGGGGUGCUAAUACCGGAUAAUGUCUUCGGACCAAAGAUUUAUCGCCUUUGGAUGGGCCCGCGUUGGAUUAGCUAGUUGGUAGGGUAAAAGCCUACCAAGGCGACGAUCCAUAGCUGGUCUGAGAGGAUGAUCAGCCACACUGGGACUGAGACACGGCCCAGACAAGUACGAGCGACGGCAGGAGGGGAUAUUGGAGAGUGGGCGAAAGACUGAGCCAGCAGAGCCGCGGGAGGAAAGAGACCCUUAGGGUAGUAAACCCCUGGGACCCGGGAUGACAAGGACAGUCCCGGGAGAAUAAGCUCCGGCUAACUCCGUG
rnacentral:rRNA from 1 species